rnacentral:rRNA from 1 species
GACGAACGCUGGCGGCGUGCUUAACACAUGCAAGUCGAACGGUGAAGCGCCUUCCUUUUUGGUGGGUGUGGAUGAGUGGCGAACGGGUGAGUAACACGUGAGUAACCUGCCCCCUUCUUCUGGAUAACCGCAUGAAAGUGUUGCUAAUACGGGAUAUUCUGGGUCUGUCGCAUGAUGGGUCUGGGAAAGAUAUUGUUUCGGUGGGGGAUGGGCUCGCGGCCUAUCAGCUUGUUGGUGGGGUGAUGGCCUACCAAGGCGGUGACGGGUAGCCGGCCUGAGAGGGUGGACGGUCACACUGGGACUGAGACACGGCCCAGACUCCUACGGGAGGCAGCAGUGGGGAAUAUUGGACAAUGGGCGCAAGCCUGAUGCAGCGACGCCGCGUGAGGGAUGGAGGCCUUCGGGUUGUGAACCUCUUUCGCCAGUGAAGCAGGCCUGCCUCGUUUGUGGGUGGGUUGACGGUAGCUGGAUAAGAAGCGCCGGCUAACUACGUG